rnacentral:rRNA from 1 species
AGAGUUUGAUCCUGGCUCAAGGAUGAACGCUAGCGGCAGGCCUAACACAUGCAAGUCGAACGGUAACAGGAAUUAGCUUGCUAAUUUGCUGACGAGUGGCGCACGGGUGCGUAACGCGUAUGCAACUUACCCCUAACAGGAGGAUAGCCUUUCGAAAGGAAGAAUAAUACUCCAUAAUAUUUAUAUGUGGCAUCACAUAUUUAUUAAAACUACGGUGGUUAGGGAUGGGCAUGCGUCCUAUUAGCUAGUUGGUGAGGUAACGGCUCACCAAGGCGAUGAUAGGUAGGGGGCCUGAGAGGGUUAUCCCCCACACUGGUACUGAGACACGGACCAGACUCCUACGGGAGGCAGCAGUGAGGAAUAUUGGUCAAUGGACGGAAGUCUGAACCAGCCAUGCCGCGUGCAGGAAGACUGCCCUAUGGGUUGUAAACUGCUUUUAUAUAGGAAUAAAACCCUCAACGAGUUGUGGGGCUGUGAUGUGCUAUAUGAAUAUACACCGCGUAUAACCCGUGUCAGCAGCCGCGGUGAAAC